GGGGUUGUGGCUCAGUGGUAGAGCGCGUGUCUAGCACGUGCAGGGUGCUGGGUUCGAUCCCCAGCACCA
rfam:Ictidomys tridecemlineatus contig001924, whole genome shotgun sequence.